rnacentral:rRNA from 1 species
GAUGAACGCUGGCGGCGUGCCUAAUACAUGCAAGUCGAGCGAACGGACGAGAAGCUUGCUUCUCUGAUGUUAGCGGCGGACGGGUGAGUAACACGUGGAUAACCUACCUAUAAGACUGGGAUAACUUCGGGGAACCGGAGCUAAUACCGGAUAAUAUUUUGAACCGCAUGGUUCAAAAGUGAAAGACGGUCUUGCUGUCACUUAUAGAUGGAUCCGCGCUGCAUUAGCUAGUUGGUAAGGUAACGGCUUACCAAGGCAACGAUGCAUAGCCGACCUGAGAGGGUGAUCGGCCACACUGGAACUGAGACACGGUCCAGACUCCUACGGGAGGCAGCAGUAGGGAAUCUUCCGCAAUGGGUGAAAGCCUGACGGAGCAACGCCGCGUGAGUGAUGAAGGUCUUCGGAUCGUAAAACUCUGUUAUUAGGGAAGAACAUAUGUGUAAGUAACUGUGCACAUCUUGACGGUACCUAAUCAGAAAGCCACGGCUAACUACGUG